rnacentral:pre_miRNA from 1 species
AGUGGGAUAGCUGGGUCAAAUGGUGGUUCCAUUCCAAGUUUUCUGAGGAAUCUCCAUGCUGCUCUCCAUAAUGGUUGCAACAAUCUGCAGUCCCACCAGCAAU